rnacentral:rRNA from 1 species
AGCAGCCGCGGUAAUUCCAGCUCCAAUAGCGUAUAUUAAAGUUGUUGCAGUUAAAAGACUCGUAGUUGAAUUUCGGGAUUAAUAUGUUGGUCGUGCCUUGGUACGUACUGGCAUUAUUGAUUCCUACCUUCUGAAGAACCUCGAUGUCAUUAAUUUGGUGUCUUGGGAAAUCAGGACCGUUACUUUGAAAAAUUAGAGUGUUUAAAGCAGGCUCGCGCUUGAAUACAUUAGCAUGGAAUAAUGAAAUAGGACGUUUGAUUCUAUUUUGUUGGUUUCUAGGAUCGGCGUAAUGAUUAAUAGGGAUAGUUGGGGGCAUUAGUAUUCAAUUGUCAGAGGUGAAAUUCUUGGAUUUAUUGAAGACUAAACUAC